rnacentral:rRNA from 1 species
GGCUAACUGCCCUUGGGACAGGGAUAACCCCGGGAAACUGGGGCUAAUCCCUGAUAGGUGAGGGCUCCUGGAAUGGGCCCUUGCCGAAAGGGCGCCUGGACCAUGCCUCUAGGCGCCGCCCAAGGAUGGGGCCGCGGCCGAUCAGGUAGUUGGUGAGGUAACGGCUCACCAAGCCUAUAACCGGUACGGGCCGUGGGAGCGGGAGCCCGGAGAUGGGCACUGAGACAAGGGCCCAGGCCCUACGGGGCGCAGCAGUCGCGAAACCUCCGCAAUGCGCGAAAGCGCGACGGGGCCAUCCCGAGUGCCGCCCGCUGAGGGCGGCUUUUCCCCGGUGUAGACAGCCGGGGGAAUAAGGGGAGGGCAAGCCGGGUGUCAGCCGCCGCGGUAAUACCCGCUCCCCGAGUGGUGGGGACGCUUAUUGGGCCUAAAGCAUCCGUAGCCGGCCAGGCAAGUCCCCUGUUAAAUCCAGCGAUUCAAUCGCUGGCCUGCGGGGGAUACUGCCUGGCUAGGGGGCGGGAGAGGCCGGCGGUAUUCCCGGGGUAGGGGUGAAAUCCUAUAAUCCCGGGAGGACCACCAGUGGCGAAGGCUGCCGGCUAGAACGCGCCCGACGGUGAGGGAUGAAAGCUGGGGGAGCGAACCGGAUUAGAUACCCGGGUAGUCCCAGCUGUAAACGAUGCGGGCUAGGUGUUGGCACGGCUACGAGCCGUGUCAGUGCCGCAGGGAAGCCGUUAAGCCCGCCGCCUGGGGAGUACGGCCGCAAGGCUGAAACU